rnacentral:rRNA from 1 species
GAUGAACGCUAGCUACAGGCUUAACACAUGCAAGUCGAGGGGCAGCAUGAGAGUAGCUUGCUACUUUUGAUGGCGACCGGCGAAUGGGUGAGUAACGCGUAUCCAACCUGCCGCACACCCGGGAAUAGCCCUUGGAAAUGAGGAUUAAGUCCCGAUAGGCAUGGUAGUCGCAUGACUACUGUGUGAACCCAGGUAUGCGAUGGGGAUGCGUCCGAUUAGCUUGCCGGCGGGGUAACGGCCCACCGGGGCAUCGAUCGGUAGGGGUUCUGAGAGGAAGGUCCCCCACACUGGUACUGAGACACGGACCAGACUCC